GACGAAAGAGGGUUCAACAGUUAAUAGAAAUAUUGGUAGCAACAGUUUAUAUUCGGUGCAUUAUUUGAUCCACAACCAACCAGAACAUGUACCUUUACAAAAGAUUAAAAAAGAUUUUUGUUCCUGGCCUUUUUUGGGCUAUCUAGCCUAAUCCAGGACUGUGGAGACAUUAUUUUGGGGAAUUAAUACAGUUUUGAUUUUUUACGAUUUUUUAAAAGGAAGCCCAGCUACAAUGAAAGUGAACGGGGCAACAGAUACAACGUGCAAAAUUAUAUGAUACAUUCGGUUUUCCAAAACGGAAAGACCAGGGUAUAUUGAUAUAGGUAUCCGUAUGUUCUCCAAAAAGAACAUUGUUUCAAUGGUUAUCGCUGUUUAUUCUUUCUGGAAAAUGGAUAAGCAGCUGCCCGCGGAUGUAUCUGUCUGUGAGGUGGCUGUAUCCUUAACCGUCUUUUUUUGUUUACAGAACUGUAGCUCACGUUAGCUAGUGUAGACUAAUAUAUCAAACAAAAAUGACAAGUUCUAUUAGCUGCUGAUAAACCAACGCAAAUCUGUCUGCAAGGAGGAUUUAUCCGGCAUCCGGGAUUGUUUACUAAACUGUAGCUCACGUUAGGAGUGGGAUUUAUUGCUUCUGUAACUAAUGCCAUGGAGCCUUGAUGUGUCUGUGGAUGAGGCUGAAUCGGCACCGGCAUGUGCAACAGAUGCAGUGACUUUCAAGCUCGUACUGUAUCAACCCGGCAGUUUUAGAAACCUUCCACGUCCCCAAAGAAACUGGAAGAGGCAGAGGCGACCCGGCCCCGGAUAAGCGGAAGAAGAUGGUAUGGAUGGUAUGGUAUAGUAUGGGAUCUAGGCGUUCUCGCACACGUCGGCGUGGAGUUUGAAUGCCAUCACAGUCUGAGAGAGGCUUAUUCCCCAUGUCUCAAGCUAGUAAGUCCAUGGUCAAUAUUUAUUAUUGUAUCAUUCUUUAAUAAUCAUAAAGUAACAAAAAUUAAUGAAUGUAUUUUCUUCCACAGAAUAACAGAAAUCAGUGCUUGGAAAGCUAGUUGAACUUCUUGAUGAGAUUAAAAAGAGUCAGAAGGCCCUAUUUUCAUGCCUUUGUAUUAGAGGUAUACUACUGUCCCAUAUGGAUGAGUCAACAUGACCAGUUCCCAUUUAAGCUCAAUCUGGCAACAAUCAGUAUAUUACCAACACCAUUGGUUUAUUCAUAAUGUAUUGAGUGGCUUUUCAUGUGUCAUGUACAGGUGUCUCAGCUCUCAAUGGUGGGAGGGAGGAACAAUAAAGACUGCAUCCAAAAAGUGAUGGACAGGUAUUAAACAACUGUCACAUGCUCAGAAUAUAGAAUAUAAUUAUGCAGUUAAAUUUUUACUCAUUGCCUGCUCUGUUUGCCCUCCUCUUAGCAUAUAGAAAAGCAAAAAUGCAGAAAGAGAUGAUUCAUUAGGAAUAAUGCAAGCAUAAAGGAAUAUUUGUAGAAUGUAGGCGUGGACCUCACUAUAUGAUUUUCUGCAUUUUUUCUCAGGCUUUUCACCAACAGCCUAAUGGCUGCUUUCAACAUGAAAGUCGCAGUGAGAAAAAAGCCUUCCAGGAUACCGUUUUUUACUCUGUGGUAAAAGCUGCAGUAAUGAAGUGGAGUAAAACUGUCACAGAAGUUGAAAUCAGGGCUGCUAUGGCUGAGACACUUAAACUUAAAAUGCUUCCGGGAGAGCUGGAGGUCGCAAAGUGUGAACAUUUGUAGUGUACAUUUUCUUUCUUAGAGUUGUGUUUUGUGUUGACUCUUGGAAUGUGAAAUCUGUGUUGGUUACUAGACCUAUGUUUAUUGCACUUUUUAAAAUGUGCUGUUCUAAGCUAACCCUUUAAAGCUUUGUUUUAUUCAUAUGUUAAUCUAAAAUGUUAUUUGGCAUGUUAAUGUGUUGGGACUUGAGAAUUGACAAUUGUCAAUAGGCAUUGAGUAAACGUUAAAGAUCGACCUGUUUUCAACAUUGAAAAGUCAGACAAAUUUGACCCUAUCAUGACCCUAUUUGUUUCUUUGAUUAUUUAUAAUAUUUUAUUUGUAUUCCAGUCUGUUAUGUUGCAGUGCUAAGGAAAGAAAUUGGUGGUA